rnacentral:rRNA from 1 species
UACGUAGGGGGCAAGCGUUGUCCGGAAUCAUUGGGCGUAAAGCGCGUGUAGGCGGUUCGGUAAGUCUGCUGUGAAAGUCCAGGGCUCAACCCUGGGAUGCCGGUGGAUACUGUCGGACUAGAGUACGGAAGAGGCGAGUGGAAUUCCCGGUGUAGCGGUGAAAUGCGCAGAUAUCGGGAGGAACACCAAUUGCGAAGGCAGCUCGCCGGGACGUCACUGACGCUGAGACGCGAAAGCGUGGGGAGCAAACAGG